UCAGCGGGCGAGCGCAGGGCACAUGGCUCGAACAGCACGCAGCCAAUCAGAGAGGCACUGUGAAAUGAGUGCUCCCUCCCUGGCACAAAAUGUCAGCCCCCAGUGUGUUGCACGGGGAGGGAUUUCUUGUUCCCAUGGCCACUGCAGAAUCUAGACACAGAGGCUGGUUUGGGCUGUUACUCACAAUUGGAGGCCAAAUUGCUUGUUGUACCAGAGAUAGGAGUGUGCUGUCCUGGCCCUUUGUUCCGUUACAGAGCUCUGCUACUGCCAGUGCACCUACGCAGUGAGGAUCCAACAGCAGAAGAGCACUCUUUUGUCAGCAUCUGGUGGCUGUGAGGAAGAUGGUGCACCGUGCAAUUAGCUCCAGUAGAGAAAUCCUGGUGAGGGAGUAUCUGUCCCUCUGGCUUUAUCCAAGAGGCAGCGUUCUCAGGAGAGAUACUGUGGACCUCAUGAAAUGGGUGAUUUAGUUGUUUUCCUCCUGGCACACACUUUUGACAGGCAUGGCCUUCAGGUUAGUUGCAAGCACAAAAGUGGAAGGAGCCAAGGGUAGGAGAUUUGUCGCUUCUUUUGGACGAACACUCUAGGAGACAACCCACAACCAGGAAUAAGAAAGUUAGAUCUGGUCCUUUGCAUGAAUCUUUGUGGUCUUCUGGAAAUCCUUCAAAUUACUCCUCAGUUCCAGAAGCCUCCAGGUUUUUCUGUGUUUCCAGGAAACACCCUCAGGCGUGGGCUAAGACUGAGACAUAUCUAAAUACUGUCGUUGGGCUAAGAAGGUUCUUUGACAGUUUCCUGCCACUGAGUUUUCCAAAAGUCUGGCUGUUUUAUAUUUUUUCCCUCCUAGUUUUAAGCAGUCUUUGCAGUACAGUCAUCCCAGGGGAAUGGUUUUACAUUAAAAGGGGGCAGAUUUAGAUUUGAGGCUAGGAGGAAAUUCUUCCCUCAGAGGCUGUUGAGGCACUGGGAUAGGUUGCCCGGGGAGGUUGUGGAUGCUCCACCCCUGGAGGUAUCCAAGACCAGGGUGGAUGAGGCCCUGGGAAACCUGAUCUAGUGGGU
rnacentral:lncRNA from 1 species